GGUCUACAUCCGGGACAGUGAGAGGACAGCUUGUUUGAAGGUUACAGGGUUCAGAAAUCAGCUUGUCUUUCUGUCGCAGGUCCAGAUCUCCCGUGUGGAGGAACAGAGUCUGCCCGCGGGCAUGCACAUGCGCGGUGAGCUGGCAACGCGGAGUGGCUGGUGCGAGGAGGCUGUUACUCCAUGCCGCUCCGCAGGAUCUGGUUGGCUGCGAUCAGCAUGACGCUUAUGAUGAAGGCCAUGGCGAAGGCGCAUAUGAGGCUCUUGCGGACGCAGGUUCAAAACCUCUGCAUACAUUCCCCCCGACCUUCUGCUUGCUGACUGGGAAGAGGUGUCAAACACUUGGUGUGGCUGGCAGGAACCUGAGUCGGGACUUGAUUCAUUUUCUUGAGACUCUCCUAAGGUCAUUGGCAAUUUUAUAUUUGCAUUGCAUUAUAUUGCAUCAAAUAAAUACGAUUUAUUCUUAGUGUA